rnacentral:rRNA from 1 species
AGUGAACGCUGGCGGUAGGCCUAACACAUGCAAGUCGAACGGCAGCACAGUAAGAGCUUGCUCUUACGGGUGGCGAGUGGCGGACGGGUGAGGAAUACAUCGGAAUCUACUUUUUCGUGGGGGAUAACGUAGGGAAACUUACGCUAAUACCGCAUACGACCUACGGGUGAAAGCAGGGGAUCUUCGCACCUUGCGCGAUUGAAUGAGCCGAUGUCGGAUUAGCUAGUUGGCGGGGUAAAGGCCCACCAAGGCGACGAUCCGUAGCUGGUCUGAGAGGAUGGUCAGCCACACUGGAACUGAGACACGGUCCAGACUACUACGGGAGGCAGCAGUGGGGAAUAUUGGACAAUGGGCGCAAGCCUGAUCCAGCCAUACCGCGUGGGUGAAGAAGGCCUUCGGGUUGUAAAGCCCUUUUGUUGGGAAAGAAAAGCAGCAGGUUAAUACCCCGCUGUUCUGACGGUACCCAAAGAAUAAGCACCGGCUAACUUCGUG